GAGCAGAUAGCCUAGUGCUUAGUGGCACCACAUCUAGAAUGCUGAGGUCCUGGGUUCAAAUCCUAGUCUAUUCA
rnacentral:tRNA from 1 species